rnacentral:rRNA from 1 species
UACGUAGGGCGCAAGCGUUGUCCGGAAUUAUUGGGCGUAAAGAGCUCGUAGGCGGCUUGUCACGUCGGAUGUGAAAGCCCGGGGCUUAACUCCGGGUCUGCUUUCGAUACGGGCUGGCUAGAGUGUGGUAGGGGAGAUCGGAAUUCCUGGUGUAGCGGUGAAAUGCGCAGAUAUCAGGAGGAACACCGGUGGCGAAGGCGGAUCUCUGGGCCAUUACUGACGCUGAGGAGCGAAAGCGUGGGGAGCGAACAGG